AGGUACAACGGUGGUCUCUCUAUACAUAGGGACAUCACCCUCGGCCGUAGCCCGAGUAGCAAGGUGAUUGACUAGCACGCUCCUAGUAGUCCCUAGCUAGGCGCGACUCCCUUGCCACGAUCCCUAGUCUCUCCUGUACUAGGCUCUGUAAAAACAACCACCAAAAGGGCGUGAGAACUAUAAACAAUAGUUCCCAGUGGGUAAGCCGCCAGCCUCGGCGAAUUACACCACUAGGCUCAUGAUGUACUAAAUGGAAAUAAAAGCAGUAAUUUGCAUGAUAUAUUUUCAAUGCUAACAAGUAAUGAACAUGUAAGCAACAUGUAAUCAUAAUCUCAACAGUAAUGAAUCAACUGAAUGGUAGAAGCAUGGCAACUACUAUAAGCACGAACAUAAGCAUAAAUGUGUAAGUACUACUGUACACUGUAACUAGUAAGCAUUCAUUACUGUCCUUUGUCAUUUAGUACUUUCACAUCAAUAGAGUUUUACUUUCAUUCACAGGGAUCUACUCAAGGUAGUCCAGCUUGCGCCGCGCCUAAUGGCCCCGUGGUAGUAUACACUCCCCACGGCAAUCCACUUCGGCACCCAAUCCCGCACGGGCGAGCAACUGUCGCGUAGGCCAACUCCGGAGUGCCGGCUUGUAGGGAGCUACCCUCACAAGCGUGUGCGAAUGAGCACAAUGGCAAGCAAGCAAGGUCCACAGUCCAACAUGUCUCAAUUAUUAUAAUUUCAUUUGCAAUGUUCUCGGUCUCGAUCCUCGAUCGGAAUUUCAAUAUAACAAAUAUGAACAAUAACUAGAAUCCACUAGUUUAGUAAGCAUGUAAGAGUAAUGCUAAUUUACAGGCAUUAGAAUCUUUUCACUAUCAUGGCACUACCAACGUAGUCCCAAAGCAUGUCACGGUUCUCUACUUUAGAGUCAAUAUCAUUAUUUUCUACUUUACAAAAACAUAAUUAUCAUGUCCAUUGGUUAUUCAACUGAACUAAAGAUAAACAUAAACAUAAGCAUAAAUACUGUUAUGCAUAAAUUCUCUCUACUUCAUAGAGAUUCUAGUCAAUGUUAUGGCAAAGAAGUUCCAAAGAACCAUAUAGUGACAAUAUCGCACAACUAUAUCAAUUCGAUACAUAUAGAACAUAGGGGAGCUUCACUUGCUCUGGUUAGGUCAAACCCACCUCGUACUAGGUUCCAAAGAAGUUUACAAGGGUCCCAAAAUCAGCCCCACGAAGUCACACUCCUGCUGAAAAUAAGGCAUCAAAGCCGAGUCAAAAUGACGACCGAAUGUCCGAUUUCGGCC
rnacentral:lncRNA from 1 species